rnacentral:rRNA from 1 species
UCAGGUGACUAUAGCAUCAGGGUUCCACCUCUUCCCAUUCCGAACAGAGAAGUUAAGCCUGAU